GACGAACGCUGGCGGCGUGCCUAAUACAUGCAAGUAGAACGCUGAAGGAGGAGCUUGCUUCUCUGGAUGAGUUGCGAACGGGUGAGUAACGCGUAGGUAACCUGCCUGGUAGUGGGGGAUAACUAUUGGAAACGAUAGCUAAUACCGCAUAACAGUAGAUGUUGCAUGACAUUUGCUUAAAAGGUGCAAUUGCAUCACUACCAGAUGGACCUGCGUUGUAUUAGCUAGUUGGUGGGGUAACGGCUCACCAAGGCGACGAUACAUAGCCGACCUGAGAGGGUGAUCGGCCACACUGGGACUGAGACACGGCCCAGACUCCUACGGGAGGCAGCAGUAGGGAAUCUUCGGCAAUGGACGGAAGUCUGACCGAGCAACGCCGCGUGAGUGAAGAAGGUUUUCGGAUCGUAAAGCUCUGUUGUAAGAGAAGAACGAGUGUGAGAGUGGAAAGUUCACACUGUGACGGUAUCUUACCAGAAAGGGACGGCUAACUACGUGCCAGCAGCCGCGGUAAUACGUAGGUCCCGAGCGUUGUCCGGAUUUAUUGGGCGUAAAGCGAGCGCAGGCGGUUAGAUAAGUCUGAAGUUAAAGGCUGUGGCUUAACCAUAGUACGCUUUGGAAACUGUUUAACUUGAGUGCAAGAGGGGAGAGUGGAAUUCCAUGUGUAGCGGUGAAAUGCGUAGAUAUAUGGAGGAACACCGGUGGCGAAAGCGGCUCUCUGGCUUGUAACUGACGCUGAGGCUCGAAAGCGUGGGGAGCAAACAGG
rnacentral:rRNA from 1 species